rnacentral:lncRNA from 1 species
AAAAAUAAAAUAUCUGAGAAUGGCUCAUUAUGUGCAGUCACAGAGCUACUGCCCACGUCUUAACUCCUUGACACUCAGAUUCAUCAGUUGUGGCAAUGGGAGAAAAGGUACCAAAUCCAGGAACAGAUUCAGAGCACAGAGCAUCCUCCAAGACAGCUCCUAUUCUCGAGGUGUCUUCUCCCAGCUGACAUGGGGCUGAGGCCCUGUUUUGGUCACAGCUUUUGCACUACUGUGACCAAAACUCCCGAAAAGAACAACUUAGGGGAGAAGAACAACUUAGGGGCUCAUGGUUGCAGAGGUCUCUGUCCACAGAUGACUGACUUCAUUGCCGGAGUGAGGCAGAACACCGUGGUGGAAAGACCCAGCAGGGAAAGCUGCUCUGUUCAGGGCAGGGUCAGGAAGAGAGGGAGGGGACGAGGCCAGAGGAAGCACAACCCCCAGUGACCACCUCCUCCCUGCCCCUCCUGCCCGCAGUUACCACCCAGUCAGUCAUUCAAGCCAGGAUGGGCUGAUGACGGUACAUCUCCCACUGUCUAGUCAUCUCACUCUGAUAUUCCUGAGUUAACAGGAACUUUUGGGUGACACUUCACCUCCAAACCAUAACAGUCCUCUUCAGGCCAUUUCAGUGAUAUCCAAGGUGGUCACUUCCAAAGCUGAGAGUCACCAGAUGUCAAGUAGUCAGCUUGACCCAGUUGCCUGGUGACAGAGCCCAUUUGGAAACCACUAGUGUGCCAGGGAAGGCGGGAGACCUGCAGCCACAGGCGUCUUACCCCCUUGCUUAUUAAGAGUCCCUUGGUAGGGGAGCUUCCAGCAAGCACACGGGGGCAGUGGUGUUUUCUAGCUCUGGCCUCAUUCUGAGAGCUCCAUCCAUAUGCCUCUUCCCUAAAUAUCUUUGCCACCAAGCCUCCAUGUCCUUCCAGAAUACUGAGCUUGCAGCCAAACCUCAGCUGUUACCUAGGAAACCAUGCAGAUCCUGGCCUGAGGAUCCUCCUCUGUGGGCAGAAUGGGCCUCAGGACAUUCUCUGUUGUCACUGGGAGUACCCUGGGAGGAGUUCUAGCCGUCCAUUCCUGGCUGAAGCUGAGUGCUGAGCACUGAGCACUGAGUGUGAACAUCUGAGUUGGGCCCUCGGGGCUGUUCAGCGUGGUCAUCAUUAAUUCUCCAGUUAGUUUUGCAAGUCAGAUUGCCUCCUGCAAUCAAAGGGGACCACUGGAGCAGGUGGGUGUGUCACAGGUGAGGACUGUACCGCAUCUCUCCUCCUCCCCCCAGUUAGGAGAGAGAGGCUGGUCCCGCCUUCCUCUGCGCCCCCUGCCCUGGCAUCCUGAACCCCGGCACCAGACCUAAGCUGGCUAACCCGCUGCUCCCACAUGGGACCCUGGAUCUGAAUCUUAGAACUGAUUCUCAGUGGCAGCAGCAGGGCUUCCCAGAGGCAGAUGGUAAUGAGGCAACCCAGGGGUGGAAUCUCAGGGCUGCAGAGGCAGGACCGCGGCCAUCCUGUUGCAAAACCUGAUGCUUGUGCCCCCUGCCUUUGGCAUCACGUUGCUGUCUUGGUGUCUGCGGACUUCCGGAGCCUGCUCUUCAGGAUCCUGCUGGCCCAGGGUACCUUAGGUAUCAUCCCAUCAAAUUUCCUACUAUUAUUUGCCGAAGGAAACCAGAACUGGUAUCUUUGUUUAUGAUCAGGAAAGCGGAUUGGUACAUGCCAAGAGCUGGGGGCUGUAUUCAUUUGCGUUAUUAACAAGAACACCUUAGGAAUGGCGACUCCAGAAUUUCAGCCUGACAAGGUGAAUGAGCUCCAUCUUGGCUUCCAAGACUCAUGGCUGCUGGGCACUGGGCAAGCUGGAAGGAGAAUCAGUGUCACGGGAAUCUCUGCUCCUGUCUCUUUGGCGCCAUCUCUAGGUCCUUCAAGCACUGGUGUUGAAUUUGAUUUAAAUAUUUUGGAUGCCAGGCUGUGGUGGCACACUUGCAAUCCCAGCUGCUCAGGGGGCCGAGGCAGGAGGAUUGCAAAUUUGAGGUUGGCCUGGAAAACUUAGGAAAGCCCUGUCUCAAAAUUAAAAAUACAGAGGGGUUGGGGAAAAGUGUCCCUGGGUUCGAUCCGCAUUACUGCAAAAAUAUGAAAUAAGAUAAAAUAUGUAAAAGGACUGAGUGUAGCUCAGUGGUGGAGUGCUUGCCUAGCAUGUGUGAGGCCUUGGUUUCCAUCCUCAAUAACACAACAAUACGCAUAUAUGAAGUAAUAAAAAUAAGAUUUUGGUAGAGUUAUAAAUCUCAAAGACUUCCACUUGGCCUAGCUCACUAGAACAGACCCUGUCCUGAGUUUGUGAACACUCUGCAGCCUUCAAGGACACCAGUGCCAGUUACCCUCUCAAGAACCUGAACAGUGGUGGCCAGGGAAGGGUAGGGUUCCCGUAGUUUACAUUUUCAUUUGUUCCUGUUCCCCCCUGACCAGCAGAUAGCAGAGGCACCGAGACUUCAUGGGCCAGGAAUUCAUGCAAAUUUGGCCAGUAUCCGCAGUCCUAGGUACAUGGCCGCCUUUGAAGGUCAGUUACCCGAGGUUCCUCCAGACGGGACAAUAUUCUCAUGGUGUGUGACAAGGCUGUUCUCAGAUUCUGGCCUCCCUUCCUGCAAGGACUCUGGGUCUGUCGUAUCUAUGACUCAGGUCUCUGAACUGGGUGGGAAGCAGGACCAUCCAGCAUGAGACUGUCUGGCACACGCUCACUAGAUUUGGGAUCUUACAAAGUAAGUGGCCAUCCACGAGUCCUCUUUUGGGAAAUCUCUGCAUGCCAAAGCAGCCCUGACCCCCAAUCCAACGCCUGCCUGACCACCCAACACCAUGCCCACGCUUUCUGUUCUUCUGAAUGUCAACUGCCUCUCCAGAGUUGGCCUCGUAGAGUUUCUCCCACCCUAAAGAGAUCAGGCUCCCAGCCCCUUGUGCUGGUCUAGAGAGCUUCCUUGACCAUUUACUCCUCAUGUCAAAGGAGGCUCAGUGUGGGCAGGAAGUCCCUGGGAGACAAAUAUGCCAUCCUGUUUACUGCUCUCUCUCUCUCUCUCUCUCUCUCUCUCUCUCUCUCUCUCUCUGGUACCAGGGAUUGAACUCAGGGGCCCUCGACCACUGAGCCCCCUCCCCAGCCCUGUUUCGUAUUUUAUUUAGAGUCAGGGUCUCACUGAGUUGCUCAGCUGACCCAGCCUCCCAAGCUGCUGGGAUUACAGGCCAGGGCCAGGGCUCCCAGCUCCUGUUCAUUUUGAUUCCUCCGCUUCCUUUCCCCCUCCCUUCACUGUUCUUCUCCCUCCCCUGCCCCCUUCCUCUUCUUCCUUCUCUCCCUCCUCCUCCCCGCCUUUCUCUCCCACCCUCCCUCCUCCUCUUCUUUUUUUCUUCCUCAUGCCAAGAACUCUCUGGCUUUGGGGGGUCCCAGAGAGGUGGCCAGUCUUAGUUAAUGGUCGCAUAGCCGACCCGGGCACAGCUGGAUUUGCCCAGCUGCUGGAGCAUGGCCCUGGCCUUGAAUCCAGAGUUACCUUCCAUCCUCUUUGUUGAUUACCCUCAUACUCCACCCCACAAAUUGCCUCCGACGUGUGGAGCUCUCAGAGUGAAUUAGGCUGCUGUCUUGGGGUGCGUGGAGCUCUCAGAGUGAAUUAGGCUGCUGUCUUGGGGUGCGUGGUUUCCAGUCUGCGCUGGGCUCUGGGGGCUGCACUGACUUCGAAUCUGGAUCUCGGUGGUCCAGCAGCAGAGCGAGCUGAGCAGAUGCGAGUGGACGCUGCACGCAGGGGGCCCUUGGGUAGGGGCUGGAAUUGGGAUUCUUCAAAUCCCCUCAGAGAUCCUGGUUGGAAUUUUCUAGAUGCAACUUGUGGUAGGCUGAAUAACAAGCUCUAAAAAUGCCCAUGUCCUCAUCCUCAGAAUCUGUGAUUAUGUCACCUUAAAAUAAAGGAACUUUGCCUAUGACGUGAUCCAGUGACGGGUCUGGAGAAGGGAGGUAUCA